rnacentral:rRNA from 1 species
CAGAAGAGGACAGUGGAACUCCAUGUGUAGCGGUGAAAUGCGUAGAUAUAUGGAAGAACACCAGUGGCGAAGGCGGCUGUCUGGUCUGUAACUGACGCUGAGGCUCGAAAGUAUGGGUAGCAAACAGGAUUAGAUACCCUGGUAGUCCAUACCGUAAACGAUGAAUGCUAAGUGUUGGAGGGUUUCCGCCCUUCAGUGCUGCAGCUAACGCAUUAAGCAUUCCGCCUGGGGAGUACGGCCGCAAGGCUGGAACUCAAAGGAAUUGACGGGGGCCCGCACAAGCGGUGGAGCAUGUGGUUUAAUUCGAAGCUACGCGAAGAACCUUACCAGGUCUUGACAUACUAUGCAAAUCUAAGAGAUUAGACGUUCCCUUCGGGGACAUGGAUACAGGUGGUGCAUGGUUGUCGUCAGCUCGUGUCGUGAGAUGUUGGGUUAAGUCCCGCAACGAGCGCAACCCUUAUUAUCAGUUGCCAGCAUUAAGUUGGGCACUCUGGUGAGACUGCCGGUGACAAACCGGAGGAAGGUGGGGAUGACGUCAAAUCAUCAUGCCCCUUAUGACCUGGGCUACACACGUGCUACAAUGGAUGGUACAACGAGUUGCGAACUCGCGAGAGUAAGCUAAUCUCUUAAAGCCAUUCUCAGUUCGGAUUGUAGGCUGCAACUCGCCUACAUGAAGUCGGAAUCGCUAGUAAUCGCGGAUCAGCAUGCCGCGGUGAAUACGUUCCCGGGCCUUGUACACACCGCCCGUCACACCAUGAGAGUUUGUAACACCCAAAGUCGGUGGGGUAACCUUUUAGGAACCAGCCGCCUAAGGUGGGACAGAUGAUUAGGGUGAAGUCGUAACAAGGUAGCCGUA